GACGAACCGAGCGAACGUUGUUCGGAAUCACUGGGCUUAAAGGGCGCGUAGGCGGGCUGUCAAGUCUGGGGUGAAAUGCCGCGGCUCAACCGUGGAACUGCCUCAGAUACUGACGGCCUCGAGGGAGGUAGGGGCGAGCGGAACUAAUGGUGGAGCGGUGAAAUGCGUUGAUAUCAUUAGGAACUCCGGUGGCGAAGGCGGCUCGCUGGAUCUCUUCUGACGCUGAGGCGCGAAAGCUAGGGGAGCAAACGGG
rnacentral:rRNA from 1 species